AUUGAACGCUGGCGGAAUGCUUUACACAUGCAAGUCGAACGGCAGCACGGACUUCGGUCUGGUGGCGAGUGGCGAACGGGUGAGUAAUAUAUCGGAACGUGCCCAGUCGUGGGGGAUAACGCAGUGAAAAUUACGCUAAUACCGCAUACGAUCUAAGGAUGAAAGCGGGGGAUAGCAAGACCUCGCGCGAUUGGAGCGGCCGAUAUCCGAUUAGGUAGUAGGUAGGGUAAAGGCCUACCAAGCCAACGAUCUGGAGCUGGUCUGAGAGGACGACCAGCCACACUGGAACUGAGACACGGUCCAGACUCCUACGGGGGGCAGCAGUGGGGAAUUUUGGACAAUGGGCGAAAGCCUGAUCCAGCCAUUCCGCGUGCAGGAUGAAGGCCCUCGGGUUGUAAACUGCUUUUGUACAGAACGAAAAGGUCUCUACUAAUACUAGGGGCACAUGACGGUACUGUAAGAAUAAGCACGGGCUAACUACGUGCCAGCAGCCGCCGAA
rnacentral:rRNA from 1 species